GUACCGGAGGUGCGCUUGGAACGAGGUAUAGUUUAAAACAAAACUCCUUGCUUACACCAAGAAAAUACCCGCUAAAACCGGAUUACUUCGAGCCUAAUUUUUAGCCACAACCUACUAUAGGAUCCUCCCCCAAUUUUCCACACUAAACAAAUCAUUCUCUUACCCUAGUAAAGGCGAUUGAAAAACUUCUCAGAGCUAUAGACAGUACCGCAAGGGAACAAUGAAAUAGAAAUGAAAUAAUACCAAAGCACAAUAUAGUAGAGAUGCCUCCUCGUACCUUUUGCAUCAUGAUUUAGCCAGUCCCAACAAGCAAAACGAAUUACAGUUUGCCCCCCCGAAACCAAGUGAGCUACUCCGAGGCAACUAAAAGAGUCAACCCGUCUCUGUAGCAAAAGAGUGGGAAGACCCCCGAGUAGAGGUGAUAAACCUAACGAGCUUGGUGAUAGCUGGUUGCUCAAGAAACGGAUCUUAGUCCAACCUUAAACUAACUCAACAAAACCUAGUAACAUCAUGUUUAAGAGCCAGUCAAAUAAGGUACAGCUUAUUUGACCCAGGAUACAACCUAAACUCCCGGGUAAUGACCCCCCCCCCCCGACGUUAACCUAACACAAGAGCAC
rnacentral:rRNA from 1 species